rnacentral:tRNA from 1 species
GGGUAUAUAGCUCAGUGGUAGAGUGUAUACUUAGGUACUGGGAUCAAUUCCCAGUACCUCCA